UUCGCCAGCGUCAUACCGUUCGCAACGGAAGCACUACGCACUGCUUGGUAGUAGUAGCGACUCAACCGUCCAGCGGUUCCGGUGUAAUUUGUCCUGCAGCAGUAGCAGCAGUAGCAACAGCCGAUUGCGUUUUCCCGCCGCCAACAGUCGGUUGUCGGCACCGUUGUCGGGUUAAAAAAGGGUACUUAACGUCUCGACGACAGGUUGUGUGUGUGUGGUGCCGGUGAAAGUGAAGUGACAGUGUGCAAAAGAGCAUCCGGCAAAACAAACAAACUUCCCUUGCCUGUGCCAUCGCGCUCCGUAACACGCGCUCAAGUAACACGUGCCGUGGAUAAGUGUUUGCGUGCCGGAAUAAGUAGAUCAGCGCGGAGGACGCACACACCAAGUGUUUUUGCCGGGACCGGGAGCGUUGGCCGAAAGGAAUGGCGCUGUAAAAGGAUCGCUUUAAUUGAUUCUGGCAAAAUCGCUCUCCUGUGUGGUGGGCUCUGUCCCCGUUUUUCGCGACCGUUUUGUCAUCGAGACCGUCGAGAAGAAAGUGCUUUCGCAUUCUUUCCCUCGUUCAAUCGAUUGUACUAUUUUCGGUAGCGCACACACACACACAAAAAGAGGGAAGCUAGUGUGUGCGGAUACGGGGGUGCUCUUUGUGAGUGAAGUGGUGUUUGAAUGUUUGGAGCAGCAGCUCGUUUUGCAUAAUUCAACAUUCGCAAACGGAACGGGAUUAAGAGUGUGUAAGAGUUUUGGUGCUGCGGAGCCGUGAACCGACCGGUGGGUUGUGCACGUCAAUAAAAAUUAAGGAAUUUGUGCAAAAACUACACCGAAACACGCGCGUGUCGAUGGCGGGUCGAUAUUAAAUUCUUCCAAACCUCCACAGCCACUCACACACAGCCACACAGGAUACAGGAAUUGUGUCGGUUCUCCGUCACGGCACAAAGUCCCAUCAACACGCCAUCGUCAGUCAGACUAUUUGGUUCGGUUUGUGUAGAUUUGUAUUGUAACCACAAGCACAGGCCAAAAGCUUUGCCCAAAACGGAUCGAAAGCGGCUGUGUGUGUGUGUGUGUGUCCGUGCGUUCGAGAAUCCAAUCAACGAAUUUUCUCCCCACUCCCCUCUUCGUGAAACUUGUUCCUUCAUAAAACACCGGCCCUCCAUUCGUGGAGCAAUGAGCGCUCGAUGCUGUCUGGCCAGUGGCCAUUCCAACAACACACAGUAAUCUACCGUGCUGUUGUGAACAGCGACGCGUCUGCCAGCAUAGCGCCACGUGCCUCCCCCCGUCCGUCACCAUUUCGAAAGGCUUCGCUACAAAUGAAAACACGAAGCGACCCACCAUAGUCAUCUAUCCCACUGUGUCCCCGGAGACGGUGAUCAUACCGAUUGUGUCCUGCAUCAUUGGCUUCCCCAUCCUGGCGCUGCUGGUGAUAUGCUGCCUGCGGCGGCGGGCCAAGCUGGCGAGGGACCGGGACCGGCGCCGCAACAUCGACCUACAGGAUCACGCAGUCAGUCUGGUGCGAAUUAAUGCCAUACAUAGGUUCAAUUACAAUGCCCCGCGAGCUGUCAGUUUGUGUUCUGAGAGAAGUAUAAGCCACAGCAUACCCUCGCUGGAGCUGGACACGAUCCUUGAAGAGACGUUCUGUUCGGUGGAAGUGUAGCUGAAGGUCACGGCGUCUACACUGGCAUAAUGGUGUGGCUAACGUACACAUCUCCUCUUCUCCCCAAUCCACCCCUGUUUGGCUGUGUCCUUAGUGAAUGUGCAUUAUCACGCGGUUCUUCAUCCACAUACACCAACCACACCUUCCCGCCAAAACCAUCCAUUAAUAGUAUAACGAAAGUUGAAUAUGCUCAUCUUUCCAUGCGCCGGAUCUGACCGAUGGGAGCGUCGCUAGAGCCAUCGAAGCGAGAGCAUGCUCACACAGUGGGGCUCAUGCAGUCAGCGCCUCCCGUUUGCCGUCGCCAGCAUAUCAUCUAACGGCUUCAACCAUCCAGGGUAGCUGUAGUGUUUUUAGGGAUGAACAAAUAGAACUCAAUGUUUUUAGAAAGUUUACCCACUUCCAGCCACAUCCCUCAUAUCGCAACUGUGUACGAUGAUGGUGUAGUGCACAAUCACCAAGAUCUUCAUCCAUCCUGCAACGUGUAACAAUCCUCGAACGCUUUAAAAGUAAGACAACCGUGAGGUGUAGUGUUAGAUGGCUAGAAUAUAUUAGGCAAGCUAAUUGGGCGUAGCAUAUAUAACCGGCGUAUUACGGUGGUACCGGUGUAUAAGAACCACACUCUUUUUCCCCCCAUCUACCCCCUUAAACAGCCUUCUUCAAACAGCCUAGCUGAGAGUAGUGGUGUACUAGUAGAAGAAGUUAGGGCUCAGUAACACACAUACUCACACACAUACCGAAUCCUAACGACCUUACCUUUUCCAGAAACCCAGCUGUGAACGGUAUGGAAUGACUUUAUUCCAAACCUAAACUUUUGAAUGCUUUAAAAACUCAUCAAUACAUCUCGCUCCAUCAAAGUCCUCCAAAGUGGUAGAAUUAUAAUGGGUAGAUAUUUAUGUGAAGCUGUCCUGUCACUGCUGCUCCCGAUAGUAUCCUGACAAAACAAUCCGACGAAAAAAAACACACAGUAACACUCAUAUAUUAAAGUCGGAAGACACUCGCACAAAACUAUACACCAUUCCAAUUCAGAAGCAUAUCAGGAGUUUGUGAGAAGUUGCUACGAAACUUUUGGACUUUCAUAUAACGCUCCUCCCCUGCAGACCGAACGAUACUAUAUCAUCGUUCUAUAGCGUACAACAGAAACAAAAAAUACGAAACUCCCCGUGAGAGCUUUUAUACACCAUCCAGUGGAUGUGCAAAUUAUCCUUAAUGGAAACAACAUCCUCAACACGCUACACCUACCCGGCAAUGAUAACGAGUGGCUACGAAGUAUGAAUUUACAGGUGAAAGACGAAAAGUUUCUCACACUUUCGGGACGGUUGUUGUUAUUGGUGUAGGUAUUUGGCAGCAAGGUGGUUGGUUUGGUUUGUGUUUAGAAAUUUGAUCUUGUUUGAAUAUACAACAUAAAAGCACCAACAUAAGCGAAAAGGCAGGCAGGACGUAAUGGUACUCCAAGUUCCAACCAACCUGCCCGACUCUGCUUCUGUGUUACGGUAGAACUGGAUGCACAAAACUAGCAUACUAGAGCCCUUGGGUUAUAAUUUAGAGAAACGAAAUGUAAAACAAAACUAUCCAUCCACAACUAUACUGCGCCCUCCCAGCAAAACAACGGAAAAAGGACAAAACAAACUGAAACAUAUCGAAUGCUUCUGUUUUCCAUUUUUGAUUGUUUUGUUUUUUCAUUCUCCUGCACUUUUUGAUCAUAAUUGUUCGAUAUCAACCAUAGAGAUUGCGUUCAUCCCCAUUAUCAAUUCCUCAAUACAACAAAGCCUCCUCAAAACCACCCAUCCCUCAUUGCGUUAUCGCACAGUGACGAGAUACAGAGACAAAUAAAGGUAUGUGAUUUGUGUAAAGUUG